rnacentral:lncRNA from 1 species
GCUGGAAAUACAGCUGAGAGCCUCUGUUGACAGAUGGAUGCCUUCUUAAUCACAGCCUGUGUGGGUAAAGGGAAAGCCUUGCCUGGCCAACCCCUCCCACUCCCACCCCCACCUCCUGCAUUGAUUCACAAACCUGGACUGCUCUGGAGGAGGCUGGGAAAGUCCAUCCCCAGGGAAUACCACUUUUUUCCUCUUCUGUGCCUCUCACAGGACACCCACAUGACUAGGAGGAGGCAGAAAGUGAAUAGGGAGCUCUUAUUACUUUUUGAGUGUCAGCAAGUUAAGACAUCAUCUCCAGAAAACUGUGCUAGUUGGCAUCCAGCAGUGCCCAAGUAUUAUUUAACCCACUAGAACCUGUGACUGCAUCAGCUUUAUAUCCUGGACCUCAGCCUGGAACAAAGGAGAGCUACACUUGGAUACUAAACACAAGUGGUCUGGAUAGAUUAUGCUGGGAAAAGAAGCCUGGAGCAGGCAGUACAGUGGGAGAACAAGGAGAGAAUGGAGUUGCAGCAGACUGCUCAGGAAUUGUACAUCACCAGUAGCUUCUGUCUCAGCUAAGUGUGGGAGACUGAUACUGAUGAGCCAUUAACAAUGGUGGAGAUUCUGAAUCACUGAAGCACUUGAUAAAAGAAAUGUCGUGGGUGAUGUGAAAAUCUACAUAUGCCCAUGAGAGUAUAUUGAGUUUGUAAGUGUUGUUGCUUAGUGUGUCACAGAGAAGUUUAUAAGAAACUAUUUUGGAGUAAGAAACAACACAGAAGAACACAGUUUCAGCCUGAAAUGGCUUAUUUAGCCACUGACCAUCAGAAACAAUUACUUUUUACCUUAACCUAGAUUUGUAAUAGCAGGAUGCAUUGAAUUCCUUCAUUGAAGUGAAACCUUAGCAAAUCUUUAAGUAGUACUCUAAAGUGACAAAAGGUGUUUACAUUUACUAAUGUAAAUUUCUUGUGGAGAUAAAGUUUUUAUUCUUCUUGGGUCUCAAGACUGCUCAAGAAGGAACCAUCGUUUGUUCUACACUGCUCUGUUCUAAAUGUUUGUUCCCCCAAUAUUCAUAUGUUGAAAUUCUAACCCCCAAGGAGAUAGUAUUAGGAGGUGGGGCCUUCGGGACAUGAUAAGGUCAUGAGGAUGAAGCCCUCAAGAAUAAGAUUCAUUGCCUUAUAAAGAAAAACCAGAAAGAUCCCUCAUUUCUUCAAUCAUAAGAAGACACAUGAGCAAGAAGACGGCCAGCUAUGAAGCAGGUCGUGGGCCCUCGCCAGACACUGAAUCUGCCAACACUUUGAUCUUGGAUUUCCUAGCCUGCAGAACUGUGAGAAAUAAAUUUCUUUUCUUUAUAA